AGCUCACUGUUGCUGUGGAAGAAUGGGAAACGUAUGAAACGAAAGUGGGGUCCAUAUUUUCAAAACUGCUAUGGAAUAAAUACGAAGAAUACCAAAGUUUAUAUCUCAGCAUUACUCUGCCGCUCUUGAAAGAGAAGCAGACAACUGAUGAAGAUUUCGUCGCAUUGUGCCAAUUAAGAAGAGGAGCUGCCAAGUAUUCCAUGGAGGAUUUGCUUCACUUACCG